UUUCCGUAGGUGAACCUGCAAAAGGAUCAUUAUUGUAUAACCGAGGUGCGAGGGCUGUCGCUGACCCGAAAGGUCGUGCACGCCCGAGUGCCCUCACACACAUCCAUCUCACCCCUAUGUGCACCACCGCGUGGGUCCCCCUUUGGCUUGUUCGGAGGGGGGCUUACGUUUUCACACAAACUUUGUAUGCAGUGUAGAAUGUAUUUUUUGUUUUUGCGAUCACGCAAUCAAUACAACUUUCAACAACGGAUCUCUUGGCUCUC
rnacentral:misc_RNA from 1 species